AUGAUAAUAUUUUGGUUAGUUACGGUUUUCAUUUAUUUAAGUUUUAAUCUUUACCCAUUGCACAUUGCACCUUAAAUAAAUAAAAUCUCUACCCAUUGAACAUGCUCUAAAAUGAGUUAUCGACCGUCAUGUUAUCGAUACACAGAAGGGCUAUGUUGUAGGAGAUUUUUCAGAUUGUGGUUUGACCUGUAUGUAUUUGACAUGGAGGUUUGUCUUGCAAAAAAA
rnacentral:sRNA from 1 species